AACGGGGGGGGACAAGCGUCGUUCAUCAGGACUGGGGCGUAAAGGGUUCGUAGACGGCCAGGAGGAGGUUUAGAACGAAAGCCAUUCGGCUCAACCAUUUGGUGUUUCUUUAGGAACUCCUGUGCUUUGAGUUUCUGGGAGGCGGGGAGGUACUUUAAAGGGAAAGGUAAAAUUUGUCGAACUUUAAGGGACCAGCAUUGGGCGUAGGCAUCUUGCCAUUGGAAACUGACGUUGAGGAACGAAAGUGUGGGGAUCAAAUAGG
rnacentral:rRNA from 1 species